GACGAACGCUGGCGGCGUGCUUAACACAUGCAAGUCGAACGGAAAGGCCUCUUUCGGGGGGUACUCGAGUGGCGAACGGGUGAGUAACACGUGAGUAACCUGCCCUUGACUUUGGGAUAACUUCAGGAAACUGGGGCUAAUACCGGAUAGGAGCUCCUGCUGCAUGGUGGGGGUUGGAAAGUUUCGGCGGUUGGGGAUGGACUCGCGGCUUAUCAGCUUGUUGGUGGGGUAGUGGCUUACCAAGGCUUUGACGGGUAGCCUGCCUGAGAGGGUGACCGGCCACAUUGGGACUGAGAUACGGCCCAGACUCCUACGGGAGGCAGAAGUGGGGAAUAUUGCACAAGGGGUGGAAGCCUGAUGCAGCAACGCCGUGUGCGGGAUGACGGCCUUCGGGUUGUAAACCGCUUUCGCUCAUGACGAAGCUUUGUGUGACGGUAGUGGGUAAAGAAGCACCGGCUAACUACGUG
rnacentral:rRNA from 1 species